rnacentral:rRNA from 1 species
UGAGUAACCUGCCCUUCACUCUGGGAUAACUCCGGGAAACCGGGGCUAAUACUGGAUAUGACUCGAACAGGCAUCUGUUUCGGGUGGAAAGAUUUAUUGGUGGAGGAUGGACUCGCGGCCUAUCAGCUUGUUGGUGAGGUAAUGGCUCACCAAGGCGACGACGGGUAGCCGGCCUGAGAGGGCGAUCGGCCACACUGGGACUGAGACACGGUCCAGACUCCUACGGGAGCA